rnacentral:rRNA from 1 species
AACGAACGCUGGCGGCAUGCCUAACACAUGCAAGUCGAAUGAGACCUUCGGGUCUAUUGGCGCACGGGUGCGUAACGCGUGGGAACCUGCCCUUAGGUUCGGAAUAACUCCCCGAAAGGGGUGCUAAUACCGGAUAAUGUCUUCUGACCAAAGAUUUAUCGCCUUUGGAUGGGCCCUCGUUGGAUUAGCUAGUUGGUAGGGUAAAAGCCUACCAAGGCGACGAUCCAUAGCUGGGAUGAGAGGAUGAUCAGCCACACUGGGACUGAGACACGGCCCAGAAUCUUACGGGAGGAAGCAGUGGGGAAUAUUGGAAAAUGGGCGAAAGCAUGAUCCAGCAAUGACGGGAGAGUGAUGAAGGCCUUAGGGUUGUAAAGCUCUUUUAACCGGGAUGAUAAUGACAGUACCGGGAGAAUAAGCUCCGGCUAACUCCGUG